rnacentral:rRNA from 1 species
UAGGCGGUUUGUUGCGUCGGCUGUGAAAACCUGAGGCUCAACCUCAGGCCUGCAGUCGAUACGAGCAGACUAGAGUGUUGCAGGGGAGACUGGAAUUCCUGGUGUAGCGGUGAAAUGCGCAGAUAUCAGGAGGGACACCGGUGGCGAAGGCGGGUCUCUGGGCAACAACUGACGCUGAGGAGCGAAAGCGUGGGGAGCGAACAGGAUUAGAUACCCUGGUAGUCCACGCCGUAAACGUUGGGCGCUAGGUGUGGGGCUCAUUCCACGAGUUCCGUGCCGCAGCUAACGCAUUAAGCGCCCCGCCUGGGGAGUACGGCCGCAAGGCUAAAACUCAAAGGAAUUGACGGGGGCCCGCACAAGCGGCGGAGCAUGUUGCUUAAUUCGAUGCAACGCGAAGAACCUUACCUAGGCUUGACAUGCACGGAAAUCCUCCAGAGAUGGUGGGUCCGCAAGGGUCGUGCACAGGUGGUGCAUGGUUGUCGUCAGCUCGUGUCGUGAGAUGUUGGGUUAGGUCCCGCAACGAGCGCAACCCUCGUUCUAUGUUGCCAGCACGUGAUGGUGGGGACUCAUAGGAGACUGCCGGGGUCAACUCGGAGGAAGGUGGGGAUGACGUCAAAUCAUCAUGCCCCUUAUGUCUAGGGCUGCAAACAUGCUACAAUGGCCGGUACAAAGGGCUGCGAUACCGCGAGGUGGAGCGAAUCCCAAAAAGCCGGUCUCAGUUCGGAUUGGGGUCUGCAACUCGACCCCAUGAAGUUGGAGUCGCUA